rnacentral:rRNA from 1 species
GAUAGUCCCGUAUACGAAAUAAUCACAGUGGAACUAAGCAUACGAACAAGUAGGACGGGGCACGUGGAACCUUGUCUGAAUAUGGGGGGACCAUCCUCCAAGGCUAAAUACUCCUGAAUGACCGAUAGUGGACUAGUACCGUGAGGGAAAGGUGAAAAGAACCCUUAUAAAGGGAGUGAAAUAGAAUCUGAAACCGCUUGCAUACAAGCAGUAGGAGCAUGAUUUAGUCAUGUGACUGCGUACCUUUUGUAUAAUGGGUCAGCGAGUUAUUUUUAGUGGCGAGGAUAACUGAAUAAGGGAUCCGUAGCGAAAGCGAGUUUUAAUAGGGCGACUAGUCGCUAGGAGUAGACCCGAAACCGGCGCGAUCUAUCCAUGGCCAGGUUGAAGAUUAGGUAGUACUAAUUGGAGGACCGAACCCAAUACUGUUGCAAAAGUAUGGGAUGAGCUGUGGAUCGGAGUGAAAGGCUAAUCAAGCACGGAGAUAGCUGGUUCUCCCCGAAAACUAUUUAGGUAGUGCCUCGUGUAUAACUCAUUGGGGUAAAGCACUGUUUCGACAAUGGGGGUUUUACGACCUUACUGACUCGAUGCAAACUCAGAAUACGAUGAAGUUCGAUCACGGGAGACACACUGCGGGUGCUAAGGUCCGCAGUGGAAAGGGAAACAGCCCAGACCGCCAACUAAGGUCCCAAAGUCAUAGCUAAGUGGGAAACGAAGUGGGAAGGCCCAGACAGCCAGGAGGUUGGCUUAGAAGCAGCCACCCUUUAAAGAAAGCGUAAUAGCUCACUGGUCGAGUCGGCCUGCACGUAAGAUUUAACGGGGCUAAGCUAUGCACUGAAGUUGCGGAAUAUAUUUAGUAUAUUGGUAGGGGAGCGUUCUGUAAGCCGAUGAAGGUGAAUUGAGAAGUUUGCUGGAGGUAUCAGAAGUGCGAAUGCUGACAUGAGUAACGUAAAAUAAGUGAGAUUCUUAUUGGCCGAAAACCCAAGGGUUCCUACGCAAUGUUAAUCAACGUAGGGUAAGCCGGCCCCUAAGGCGUAGCUGAAGAGUGAAGUCGAUGGGAAACAGGUUAAUAUUCCUGUGCUGCUUAUAUGAACGAAGGAGGGACGGAGAAGGUUAGGUAGGCCUGGCGAAUGGUUGUCCAGGUGAAAGUAUGUAGGUAGGAAUGCUAGGCAAAUCCGGUGUUCUGUUGAUCUGAGAUACGAGACGAAGUUAAACUUGUUUGACGAAGCUAUUGAUACCAUGCUUCCAGGAAAAGCUUCUAAGUAUAUUGUAUAAGUGACCGUACUGUAAACCGACACUGGUGGGUAGGUAGAGAAUACUAAGGCUAUGAGAUAACUCUGGUGAAGGAACUAGGCAAAAUGACACCGUAACUUUGGAAGAAGGUGUGCCCUUGAUGGUGAUGAGACUUGCUCUUUGAGCUGUUGGGGGUUGCAGAUACCAGGUGGCUGCGACUGUUUAUCAAAAACACAGCACUCUGCGAAAUCGUAAGAUGAAGUAUAGGGUGUGACGCCUGCCCGGUGCUGGAAGGUUAAUUGAAGGGGUUAGCGCAAGCGAAGCUCUGGAUCGAAGCCCCAGUAAACGGCGGCCGUAACUAUAACGGUCCUAAGGUAGCGAAAUUCCUUGUCGGGUAAGUUCCGACCUGCACGAAUGGCGUAACGAUGGCCACACUGUCUCCACCAGAGACUCAGUGAAAUUGAAAUCGCUGUGAAGAUGCAGUGUACCCGCGGUUAGACGGACAGACCCCGUGAACCUUUACUAUAGCUUUGCACUGGACUUUGAAUAUUUAUGUGUAGGAUAGGUGGGAGACCAUGAAGCAGCUACGCCAGUAGUUGUGGAGUCGUCCUUGAAAUACCACCCUUGAAUAUUUGAAGUUCUAACUCAGGAGAGAUUCGAGGACAGUGUAUGGUGGGUAGUUUGACUGGGGCGGUCUCCUCCUAAAGAGUAACGGAGGAGUACGAAGGUGCACUCGGUACGGUCGGAAAUCGUGCCAAGAGUAUAAAGGCAAAAGUGCGCUUGACUGCGAGAGUGACGGCUCGAGCAGGUACGAAAGUAGG